rnacentral:lncRNA from 1 species
GGCUUCCUGUUAACUGACUAUCUUUAUUUUUAACUCAAGCAACGUUGGAGCCAUCCCUGCAGUGAAUACACUCAUCAAGAUUCUAUAUCAUUCCUUCCUUGAUGCCUAUCAUUAUUAGAGACAUUUCUCUUCAUUUAUUUAUGAUGCCUAAUACGUCUUUCUGUCCACUUUGUAUUUGUUUUGUUUCUUCUGAAGAUUAAGAUAUGCUUUAAUAUUGGCUUGAUUUGUUUAUCGAAUUUUGAAGAUUUCCUUUGGAAAUAGUGUUAUAUGAAUGCUAUUAUAAAUUGAAUUCCCUCUAAGUAAUCAGGGAGAACGUACUGAUCAAACUAUGUACCAAAUUGUGAAGCAUACUUAUAUUAUCAUGCCUAUGGAUUCAUCACAACUCAUAGGAGACUUAUUAAGAUAUAUUUUGAGAUAGUUUGAACAGUCCAUAAUGAAUUGAAUCAACAUGAAAUUAUUGAUCGGAGAUUGAAGCUGUGAUCAAAGUCAAUAUUCACUUAUUUAAUGAAAUUUAUGAUGCAGAUGGGCAAUAUUCUAUCUCUCCUCCAAAACAUUCUUCAAUGGCACUGUCAUGGUUACCAUCUUGAUUUUCGGUUUCUUAUUUUUUAACAUGGCCAUUCAACACUGGAUUUUCCUCAUUGAGCAUGAAGAUGUAGCUGAUUAUUU